rnacentral:rRNA from 1 species
AUUGAACGCUGGCGGCAGGCCUAACACAUGCAAGUCGAGCGGAUGAGGGGAGCUUGCUCCCUGAUUUGGCGGCGGACGGGUGAGUAAUGCCUAGGAAUCUGCCUGGUAGUGGGGGAUAACGUUCCGAAAGGAACGCUAAUACCGCAUACGUCCUACGGGAGAAAGCAGGGGACCUUCGGGCCUUGCGCUAUCAGAUGAGCCUAGGUCGGAUUAGCUAGUUGGUGAGGUAAUGGCUCACCAAGGCGACGAUCCGUAACUGGUCUGAGAGGAUGAUCAGUCACACUGGAACUGAGACACGGUCCAGACUCCUACGGGAGGCAGCAGUGGGGAAUAUUGGACAAUGGGCGAAAGCCUGAUCCAGCCAUGCCGCGUGUGUGAAGAAGGUCUUCGGAUUGUAAAGCACUUUAAGUUGGGAGGAAGGGCUGCUGGUUAAUACCCUGCAGUUUUGACGUUACCAACAGAAUAAGCACCGGCUAACUUCGUG